rnacentral:rRNA from 1 species
GAUGAACGCUGGCGGCGUGCCUAAUACAUGCAAGUCGAGCGAACAGACGAGGAGCUUGCUCCUCUGACGUUAGCGUCGUACGGGUGAGUAACACGUGGAUAACCUACCUAUAAGACUGGGAUAACUUCGGGAAACCGGAGCUAAUACCGGAUAAUAUAUUGAACCGCAUGGUUCAAUAGUGAAAGACGGUUUUGCUGUCACUUAUAGAUGUAUCCGCGCCGCAUUAGCUAGUUGGUAAGGUAACGGCUUACCAAGGCAACGAUGCGUAGCCGACCUGAGAGGGUGAUCGGCCACACUGGAAGUGAGACACGGUCCAGACUCCUAAGGGAGACAGCAGUAGGGAAUCUUCCGCAAUGGGCGAAAGCCUAACGGAGCAACGCCGCGUGAGUGAUGAGGGUCUUCGGAUCGUAAAACUCUGUUAUUGGGGAAGAACAAAUGUGUAAGUAACUAUGCACGUCUUGACGGUACCUAAUCAGAAAGCCACGGCUAACUACGUG